UACGUAGGUGGCAAGCGUUGUCCGGAUUUACUGGGCGUAAAGAGCGCGCAGGCGGUCGUUCAAGUCGCGUGUGAAAGCCCCCGGCUCAACUGGGGAGGGUCACGCGAUACUGAUCGACUGGAAGGCAGGAGAGGGUAGUGGAAUUCCCGGUGUAGUGGUGAAAUGCGUAGAUAUAGGGAGGAACACCAGUGGCGAAGGCGACUACCUGGCCUGUUCUUGACGCUGAGGCGCGAAAGCUAGGGGAGCAAACGGG
rnacentral:rRNA from 1 species